rnacentral:tRNA from 1 species
GCCCAAAUAGUUUAACGGUAGAACGGGUGAUUUGUAAUCUCCAAACGUUGGUUCAAUUCCGACUUUGGGCU